AUGAUACCAACCGGAGAAUUCCACCAGAAUAUUUCGACAAACAGAGCAUUCGAGCACCGCAUAUGAAAGAUCCGUACUCUCUCGAAAAUUAUAUUGCUGAACAAUAAACACCCACAAAAACGCAGAGUCUUUAAAUCGAAAGUGAAGCACAAUACAAAAAGUAGUGAUUAGCGGAUGGAGUGCAUUGUCAUGGAAAUGUCUAGAAAAUGGUCGUUGGGAAGGUCCACACGAAAAGGCCAACAUAUACAAAUUACACGAGAGGAAAAGUAUCCGAAACGAUCUUCGAAAUGUUUUCGACACUCGCUUUGUGAAUGAGAACGAUGCUUAACUAAUCAUCGAGAAUGGAAUUUUUCAAAUCGUUGGCUCCUUAAACAAACAACAAAAACUUUCGCGUCGGCGGCCAUGCUUCCGAAAAAGUUUUUAAAAUUCAACAUGGCGAGCAUUCUGGAUUUCACAGUGUCGCUUGUAACCCGUCGUAUUAGCUAUAGACCGUUGUCACUCAUGGACAUGAUCGCCAUGUUGGUCUAUCUUGGUGACCGUGUCGGCGUAAAAAGAAUUUUUAGAAAGUGAUUUUGUUUGGAAGAGCACAGCAGGUGCUUCUUCAAUGAUUUGGCUGAUCCACGGGGAGUUAAAACGCUCUGCUCUCAGCAGUACUGUGUCUGGCGUUUCAAUUGUGAACUUUCAUAACUUUCAACUUAGAUGGUGGUAAUCGUUUUCUUCGCAAAAUUAAUUUGCAUGCUUUUUCUGGAACUAUUGAAAUUUUUGUGUUAUGCAAGCGAGCGAAUAAAUGAAUCGUGUAUAUUUUCGUUACUUACGCUGCAAGGUUGCCUGUGUUUUUUCUAAACUUUGGUCUUUAUUGAAGUUUUAAUCGCUGACAUAAAGAAAAUUUGCAUCGAAGAGAAUAAAUGACAAUGAAGGAUAUGUAAAUACGAAAACGACCGACCACAAACUGAAAAAUACAUUGUAAGUGAAAUUGCCAUGACAACCAAUUUAAAAAGUGAAAUUCAGCCGGUCCAAGUGUGGAAGACAAACAAAAUUCAUGGCGAUUUUUGGAAGUUAAAGCUCUGACUUUGGAAAUUCAAGCUAGAUUCGGGCAAAAUAACGGCCGCUGACAAUAAGAAAUCAGUUUGACGAAGAAACCAGGUGAACACGAACGCAAUAGGAGACGAGUGUCUGGGACUUUUCUACGAUACGAAACUCGGAUGCUUCGAGACAGAACUGUCUGAAAAACGUGACAUAACAAGGCUUAGAUACGACGGCGAAUCGAAGCGGCAGUGGAGCAUUUUGUAAUUAUUUCGUAAUUUAACAUACCUUAUAAUGAUUUUCAGUCGUCGACGUUAAUGCAAAUUUAAUUGCUACCACCUCCGUUUCAAAGCAGACGACUAUUAUCUUACGAAGACAAGACACACACAAUUGAACGUAUAUACGUAAAUUCUAAAUUUCAGUCCUCGAGCGAAAAGGAUUCGUGUGAUAACAGCGAACGGCCCAUGACACCAAUAUUCACAAGGAAAUUAUCAAACAUGACAAAAUGACCCUUGAGAACCCUUUCAUGCAAGACGAUUACCAAAACGACCGAAUCGCGAUUACAAAGCUAUCCGUGGAAUCAAUAUAAUCGAUGCCGUUGCCAAACGUUAAUUAUUCGAGAAGAGAGAACACACUCACUUCGAACGUGGCAUAGAAACGUCCGCAUCCCACAUACCUAGUUCUUGCCAUUCUCUUGUGUUCCGUGGAAUUCGUACAGCCUACAGGCAUGCUUUCUUCGUAAGAACUCUUGGGGGAAGUGCUCACAUAAAAAAAAAUGAAAAAUUACAAAAAAUUAGGCGAUGUCUCAUCGAGCAUCAAAAGUUGCCAUGGCGAAAAGGAAACGACGAAUGAUUAAUUAACUGUUAACAGCUCAAAAUUUUUUUACCCAAAGGUGGUUGGUCUGGCUACGUGAAAGAAAAUUCCAUCGGUUGUGAAGCUCGAGUUUUUCGGCAAUGCAACAGGAACAAAUACUCAAUGCACAGGAAUACUCAGGGCGAGAGUUAAAUGGUUCAAUCUGCCAUCCAAUACUUUUUAUAGCUUCCAUCGGUUUCCACCGAAGACCGUGGGACCCACGCGGUUUCCUCUAAGCCACCACGAGGAUGGUGGGCGCAAUAAUUGUUCGACGUUAAAAUCGACUCCCACGUGAGCUUCACAAUUAUAAACGAAUUACUCUACACGUAAGAUUUCCCGUCGUCUUUUGAAGAAGCUAAAGGAUGUUUAAAAUCUAAAGAAAAUUCUAAAAUCCAAAGAAUGUCUCACGAUCGACAACUGGAUUGUACAGGACUUUCGUUCAUCCUCCAUAAGAAAAAGCCAAGUCAGGAUCAAAGCUACACUAUGAGAUCGGCGAAGAUCGACUCGAGCUUUUGAACCAAUUUUCCAAAAUUAAGGCAAAGCGUUAAUUUUGUAGCUAGUAAGAUAUCUGAUAAAUCACAGAUUUCUUUUUUUACAUGUUCGUAGAUGUAGAUCGUCCAGAAUGGUUGGGAGUCACGAGAAGGAAUCUUGGUGUUGAUGUUGACUGACGUUUCGCCAACCUUAGCAAACAACCUUCAAGAGUUAAGUGUAAGUUUGUGGAAACUGUCAAAAUCAAUACCAUGACAGUUCCUCUCGGGACUCUGCAUGCUAAUUUGGACGAUCUACAUCUACUAACACGUUAAGAUACUCCAGGGUUCGAACCAUUUACUUUAUUAGAUUUAUUUGCUAGCAAUGAACGUUUCUUACAUAUAAUUGGAGGAAUUUUUUUGCAGACAUUUUUAUUCAUACAAGCUUUCAAAAACAGAGCAAUGGCCUUCGCAGACCAAUGCACAAAGUAUCACAAAGUAUGGUCCGGCAGAGCCCUGUUUAGGAGAGGCGGGACACCGGAAAUAAGAUUGCCUAGCCUCCGCCAUUUUUUCCAAAAGCCAGCAAAUAUGGAGCAUUAAAUGGUGGUAAGACAAUUUUCCAGUUGUGUUUUUUUAUUCAUAAAUAGACAGCGAUCACUAUCCUAGGAAUUUAGUUGUUUAUAGAUGUCAUAAUGAUAAAAAAAAUAUUUAAUUCAGUGGAUGUAAUUUAUACGCCUUUAAUACUGUUUUUGCCACAA